AUUGAACGCUGGCGGCAGGCCUAACACAUGCAAGUCGAGCGGAUGAAGGGAGCUUGCUCCUGGAUUCAGCGGCGGACGGGUGAGUAAUGCCUAGGAAUCUGCCUGGUAGUGGGGGAUAACGUCCGGAAACGGGCGCUAAUACCGCAUACGUCCUGAGGGAGAAAGUGGGGGAUCUUCGGACCUCACGCUAUCAGAUGAGCCUAGGUCGGAUUAGCUAGUUGGUGGGGUAAAGGCCUACCAAGGCGACGAUCCGUAACUGGUCUGAGAGGAUGAUCAGUCACACUGGAACUGAGACACGGUCCAGACUCCUACGGGAGGCAGCAGUGGGGAAUAUUGGACAAUGGGCGAAAGCCUGAUCCAGCCAUGCCGCGUGUGUGAAGAAGGUCUUCGGAUUGUAAAGCACUUUAAGUUGGGAGGAAGGGAAGUAAGUUAAUACCUUGCUGUUUUGACGUGACCAACAGAAUAAGCACCGGCUAACUUCGU
rnacentral:rRNA from 1 species